rnacentral:rRNA from 1 species
AUUGAACGCUGGCGGCAGGCCUAACACAUGCAAGUCGAACGAGUGGCGGACGGGUGAGUAAUGUCUGGGAAACUGCCUGAUGGAGGGGGAUAACUACUGGAAACGGUAGCUAAUACCGCAUACCAUCAGAUGUGCCCAGAUGGGAUUAGCUUGUUGGUGGGGUAACGGCUCACCACGGCGACGAUCCCUAGCUGGUAUGGGAGGAGGAACAGCCAAAAGGGAAAUGAGACACGGUCCAGACUCCUACGGGAGGCAGCAGUGGGGAAUAUUGCACAAUGGGCGCAAGCCUGAUGCAGCCAUGCCGCGUGUAUGAAGAAGGCCUUCGGGUUGUAAAGUACUUUCAGUCGGGAGGCGUUACCGACAGAAGAAGCACCGGCUAACUCCGUGCCAGCAGCCGCGGUAAUUC